AAGGAUUUAAGUUAAAUAAACUAUUAACCUUCAAAGUUAAAAAAAUAAUUAUCAUUAUAAACCUUA
rnacentral:tRNA from 1 species